GUCCUAGCCGUAAACGGUGAGCACUAGGUGUAGGAAGUAUCGACCCUUCCUGUGCCGCAGCUAACGCAUUAAGUGCUCCGCCUGGGGAGUACGACCGCAAGGUUGAAACUCAAAGGAAUUGACGGGGGCCCCGCACAAGCGGUGGAGCAUGUGGUUUAAUUCGAUGCAACGCGAAGAACCUUACCCAGACUUGACAUGUGCCGGACAGGUGUGGAAACACACCCUCCCUUCGGGGCCGGUGCACAGGUGCUGCAUGGCUGUCGU
rnacentral:rRNA from 1 species